AACGGCCAUACCAUGCUGAAUAUACCGGUUCUCGUUAGAUCACCGAAGUCAAGCAUCAUUGGGCGCUGUCAAUACUUGGGUGGGUGACCACCUGGGAACACCGCGUGCCGUU
rnacentral:rRNA from 1 species